ACGAGUUUCAGAGAAAACGAAGGCCGCUGUACAAUCACGCAAACAGAGAGAACAAAAACUACCUUUAUUUACGGUUGUAUGUGAAAUUCACUUUAUUGCUCUUGCACUUUUUCUCACCUUCUUUCGUCUCUUUUUCUUUGAUCUUUUCACCUUCUGAGAAAUUCUGGAUUUCUGUUGAAAGCCUGAGAAUGGAUGCCCGAGAGGAUGAGGAUACAUCUUUGAGGUAUAACACAACCGAGGUGUGAAAGUCAAGGGCACAGAAACUUAUAAAUGUAACACACCUAAAAUAGAACAGCUUUUAAAAGCCAGCCAUGCACACAUGAAAUGGAAACCGACAUGAGACUAUACAGCAUUCUGCUGCUCCUUGAUAAAUUAUUUCUUGACGUCUGGCACUGGGAAUAAGAGAUAUCCUUGAAAAUAAAACAACUGGUGUCAUUUUUCUUUUCUUCAAAUGAAGAGCUUUAUUCUGGUGUCUGCUACACAGCGUGUUGCCUUUUUACGAUUUACAACUUCAAGUGCAGCCCAUUCCACUUCCUACAUUUGAAACAAAUCCAGAAGAUUACAGCAGACAAACAUCCCAAGUAGAAGGUCUGUUGAGAAGGAACGGUUGAUAUACUGUACCAGUACCACAUUACCGUGCUCAUUGUUUCGCUUUCUUCUCUUGUUCAUGAUGGAGGAUUAAGCAGUGUCUUUACAUGGGUGCCAGGCUCUUAGCAAACAAACCAUUCACAAAUGGAAAAUGCAAUCGGGCAAAUACUGUUAGCAGACAAAAGGAACAGGGUGCACGUCUGCAGACACAGAAAAGCCAUUUCAGUUUGCUUGUCAGAGCACAUAAGGUUUCACAAAAGCAUAGUUAAAGUCCAAAAGCAGCAGAUGUGUUUUCUACCACAAAGUCUCGGAUUCGGUGCACAGAACAAAGAGGAGCGAAGAAUGGUGUUUGGAUUUGGAGCAAAAAGCUAUUCUCUGCAGAAUUCCUCCCAAACCCACUGAGAGAUGUGACUUAACCUCCAUUCUCAAAAUUAGAGUUGCCAAGCGUAACUAAAUGAAUAGAGUUUUAUGCCAGUUUUUAGCACUAUUUUUUUUUUCAGCAAAAUGUAUCAACAUUGACAAUUGUAUUUGUAUGUAUGCAUCCAAAUUUCAUUAAUAUUUUAACUAAUUAAUAAACAUACAAUA